rnacentral:tRNA from 1 species
GUCCUUGUAGCUCAGUUGGAUAGAGCAUAUGCCUCCGACGCAUAGGGUCAUGAGUUCGAUUCUCAUUAAGGACACCA